UACGUAGGGCGCGAGCGUUGUCCGGAAUUAUUGGGCGUAAAGAGCUCGUAGGCGGUUUGUUGCGUCGGCCGUGAAAACUUGGGGCUUAACCCCGAGCCUGCGGUCGAUACGGGCAGACUUGAGUUCGGCAGGGGAGACUGGAAUUCCUGGUGUAGCGGUGAAAUGCGCAGAUAUCAGGAGGAACACCGGUGGCGAAGGCGGGUCUCUGGGACGGUACUGACGCUGAGACGCGAAAGCGUGGGGAGCGAACAGG
rnacentral:rRNA from 1 species